GAUGGUGUUCUUCCAGGAACAAUACGCCAACUAGUGCUUGAGAGUGAAGGAAUUCCAUUUCGAGAAGUUGCUCCAUCAUGGUCAGAAUGUGAAAUCUGGGAGGAGGCAUUCAUCACAAAUAGCUUGAGGCUUUUACAACAUGUGGAUAGUAUU